GGUGGCUCAGUAGUAGAGUGUUUGCCUUACAUGUAUGAGGCCCUGAGUUCGAUUCCUCAGCACCA
rnacentral:tRNA from 1 species